AGUAAUGAUUCCGGUAAGGCGGCGUCAUCCGGUAAACGUGAGAAUGCUGCAUCAGUUGUGUCUAUAAAUGCGCACGACAUCCCCGAGAUCUGCAGACAGACGCUUUCUUCGGUGAAGAAGCUCGAGGACGGGGAAUUCAGCUGAUCGUCCGAAAACCAGUGUCCAGAAGAAGCUUUCCAAAAAUGAACAUCAACUCGGUUAAAUCGGCGCACCUGUCGACCAGCUGUGGAAAGCUUUUGUGCAUUCAAGGCACGCAGAGGCCCAAUCAUUCUCAUCAGCUGGUUGCAAAGAAUGAACAGAAAUUCAACCCUGGAAACUCAGUCAAGGUGUAUCAUAUCUUGUAUAAUAGAACCAGACAAUGCAUGGCUUUUGGCUUUGAGGUGAAAAAUAAGUCUGUUUUCCCGGUUGUUACUCCCGGUGAAGAGGUCAAAUUUAAGGCUUUACCCACAGACAAGCUGAUUACGGAAAGGACCUUUGAUGAAACGUUCUUAUUUCAGUGGGGUGAGCAAGAGAUCUCUGGAGAUUGGAGGAGUCUGGAAUCAGUGGCUAAACCCAAAAAGUACCUGUGUGUUAAAAAUGAGGUCAAAGUGACCAUCACAAAAAAACAGAGUCCGGUUUUUAGAAUCUGUUACUCAGAUGAGAAAAAAGGUGAGGAGUUGCAGAGUCUCUGUGGAUCGGGUAAAAUCCAAGAGAACGCGACAAAUCCAUACAAAAAGAUCUGGCGAAGACGCAACUUAAAAAGAGGACCUUCAUGCUGCGCGGGAUCGGCAUCCAAUAAACCCCUGCACUGCAACGACAGGAAAACCAAGCGGAUGAAGAUGUGAAGAGCUGAAGCGUUUUCACCAACAAAAGGGCUUUGAUCGUUCUGAGAAAACAUGAGAGCGAUUCCUCCGUGGGUCUUUGAGGCAUGGCAUUUUCUCCAUUUAUUUGCAUGCGUUUCACUUUGAUUUGUAUUUCUUUCACUUUUCAGUGAGGUGUGUUCACCAGUGAUGUUGGGCAUAUCUCAAUUUCUAAUGUUUCUGAAACAAGUCUCUUCUGCUCACCAAGCCUGCAUUUAUUUGAUCCAAAGUACAGCAAAAGCAAUAAUAUUGUGAAAUAUUUUUACUAUUUACAAUAACUGCUUUCUACUUGAAUAUAUAUUAAACUGUGAUUUAUUUCUGUGAUGCGCAGCUGUAUUUUCAGCAUCAUUACUCCAGUCUUCAGUGUCACAUGAUCUUCAGAAAUCAUAAUCAUAUGCUGAUUUGCUGCUCAAGAAACAUUUCUGAUUAUUAUCAGUCAUUACUGCUGCUUGUUAUUCUUGUGGAAACACUACCAUUAUAUUAUAGUAUGUCAUGUGGGACACAAAGAAGAGUCAGUAAAAGUUCAGACAAGCGCGCCCUCUGCUGGUGAAGCUCAUCUGAACUAUUAAAGGGGUCAUAUAAUGCUACAUGCACUUUUACAAGUUGUUUGAACUGAAAUGUGUGUUGGUAGUGUGUACACAACCACCCUAUAAUGAUAAAGAUCCACCCAGUGCUAAUUAGCAAGUUUCAUGAUGAAUGCGGCUAAAGUAAACAGCCCCUCAGAGAGCAGCUCGGAAGAGAGGGGCAGAGUCAGCAGAGCUCAUUAACAUUUAAAGGGAAAUGCUACAAAAACGUCUUGAUCUGAAAAGAGCUGUUUUUGACGGUAAAAAAGGUGUUUUUUACACUACCAUUGAGAAAUUUUAACCAAACUUAUGGUACAGACUUUUCAUUAAGACCCUAAAGAAUCAUAUCAACUUGUGGAAAAUGGGCAUCCUGUGACCCCUUUAAGUAGACUUUUAUCAGUAAAGUGCAUUGCACUAGAGUUUGUAUAGCUUGUAUAGCGUAUGCUACAUCUAAUAUGCAUUGUUUUUCUAGUAACAUGAUCUACAAAUAUAUGAAUGUAUUUGUUAACCAUAUUAUAUAAACGCUGUGAAGCUGAAAUAAUCAGCUCGUUCUGCAAGCAAAGCAUCUUGCUGUAUGUUGACUAUGAAUUUUUUAUAUAUAUGCAUGUAUUUUUUUUAUUAGUAUAUUGUAUUUUACUUCUUUCUUUUUGACAAACUCUAAGAACACCUAAUUUCUGUAUUAUGCAUUGACUGAAUAAUAUAUGCAAAUAUGAUGCAAAAAUGCAUAUUUUAAAUUUAAAAAUAUUCUGGAUAGUAUGCGAUUUAUGUGUAGCUGAUAUUUCAUUCUAUUAAUGACUACCAAAUAAACACAUAUUUUCCAGUGUUUGGGCUUGUUGUGAAUGAAUGACAAUGUAGAGAAAGUGAAAAAAGAAAUCAGCCGACUUAAUCCAAAAAUAAAUCCAAAAUAAAAGU
ensembl:lncRNA uncharacterized LOC107670384